UCGGGUUGUAAAGCACUUUUGUCCGGAAAGAAAACCUCUGGGUUAAUACCCCGGGGGGAUGACGGUACCGGAAGAAUAAGCACCGGCUAACUACGUGCCAGCAGCCGCGGUAAUACGUAGGGUGCAAGCGUUAAUCGGAAUUACUGGGCGUAAAGCGUGCGCAGGCGGUCCGCUAAGACAGAUGUGAAAUCCCCGGGCUUAACCUGGGAACUGCAUUUGUGACUGGCGGGCUAGAGUAUGGCAGAGGGGGGUAGAAUUCCACGUGUAGCAGUGAAAUGCGUAGAGAUGUGGAGGAAUACCGAUGGCGAAGGCAGCCCCCUGGGCCAAUACUGACGCUCAUGCACGAAAGCGUGGGGAGCAAACAGGAUUAGAUACCCUGGUAGUCCACGCCCUAAACGAUGUCAACUAGUUGUCGGGUCUUCAUUGACUUGGUAACGUAGCUAACGCGUGAAGUUGACCGCCUGGGGAGUACGGUCGCAAGAUUAAAACUCAAAGGAAUUGACGGGACCCGCACAAGCGGUGGAUGAUGUGGAUUAAUUCGAUGCAACGCGAAAAACCUUACCUACCCUUGACAUGUAUGGAACCCUGCUG
rnacentral:rRNA from 1 species